rnacentral:misc_RNA from 1 species
GUAACAAGGUCUCCGUUGGUGAACCAGCGGAGGGAUCAUUACUGAGUGUAACAACUCCCAAACCCCAUGUGAACAUACCACUGUUGCUUCGGCGGGCUCGCCCCGGGCGCCAUCUGCGUGCCCCGGAACCAGGCACCCGCCGGGGACCUAUCAACUCUUGUUUUUUACUUGCUUUGUCUCUGAGUGUGAUUUUUUUACAGAAUCAAAUCAAAACUUUCAACAACGGAUCUCUUGGCUCUGGCAUCGAUGAAGAACGCAGCGAAAUGCGAUAAGUAAUGCGAAUUGCAGAAUUCAGUGAAUCAUCGAAUCUUUGAACGCACAUUGCGCCCGCCAGUAUUCUGGCGGGCAUGCCUGUCUGAGCGUCAGUUCAACCCUCGUCCCCCCUGGCUUCGGCCGGGAGGGGCGGUGUUGGGGAUCGGCCGCCCGUCCGCGGGAGGCCGCCCCCUAAAUGGAGUGGCGACCCCGCCGUAGCCUCCUCUGCGUAGUAGUCAACUCACCUCGCAGGCGGAGAGCGGUGCGGUCCGCUGUGAAACACCCCACUUUUCUCAGGUUGACCUCAGAUCAGGUAGGAAUACCCGCUGAACCUAAGCAUAUC